AUAUAGAAGAGAUAAUUGUUAUACCUGGUCUCCUACCAUUGGGGGGCUGGGGCAUGCCACAUGAUUGGGGAGGCUUGGGGGGCCUCUGGUUUACACCAUUGAUAAGUGUCCUUGGCCAAAAAAACCCUCGUUUAAUAGAUCUAAGCUGAGUGGCAGAGUACUCUAGAGCCAUGUCGGGAGAAUAGAUUUUAUUAAAAUUGGCCAAAACCAGUCCAAAAAGGACAGAACUUGAGAGCAAUUACACAGCAACAUGACCAAUGAUCCAUCGGGAUCCACACAACAACUAAUCGAUAUACCUGUGAUAGCCAGAAAUGUAUCGACUAAGAAACAAAAACAAACAAACAGGUACCAGCGUGAAGUAGCAGCACAAGCGUGCAUAGCGUUCUCACACAGGAAAUGGAAACAACCCCAGGAUGCCAGGAUUGGAAUGACCCUUCCCUUCCUUCUAAACCUUACCACAAUUUUUCCUUUCCCUUAAAGCGAACCAUAAACCUUCCCUGUUCUCAAAACCUAAUCGUAAUCCUUCUCUUUUCUUCAAACCUAAGCACAACCUUUCCUUACCCUUAACACUAACCAUAACCCAUCCCUUCACUCCAAGCCUAAACAUAACCCUUCCCUUCCCUCUAACCCAACUAUAACCACUUUCCUUGGCCCUAAACCCAACCACAACCUUUCAUGUCCUCUACUCAUAACCAUAACCUUCCCUUCCCUCUAAGCCUAAACAUAACCCUUCCCUCUAACCCAACUAUAACCACUUUCCUGCCCCCAUAUAAACCUGUUUUUUUUUUUAAAAAAAAUGUUUUGUUGUUGUUGUUGAUUUAAUAAAGUUUGUUGCCUUUAUCAAAAGUUUUCUUUAAGAAUUGUUUUUAAGGGGCUGAUGUUAAGACUGAAGGAGGAACUUUUUGGAUGAAGAUCUUGACUGGAAAAGGAGAAGAAAAGAACAGAGGACCUUCCUUUUUGUGGUUUUUCGAUCAAGAGCUUUCAAAAAGGAUUAUUAUUCAAAAGUGACUGAGACGAAGAAAAGAAAAAUCUUUUCAGGUGAGUAAAGGUCUUCUAGGCCUAAAACAUGGACUUUAAACCACCAGACCCCAUAAGCAUCUAGGAUGGCCUGCGUUUAAGGAGUCUCCAUUUCCUUCAAUGGAAAUUGGUCAUCUACCACUUCCAAAGAAUCAGAGAAAGAACUAAGAGACUCUUACACCCUUUUUUCUUCCUCAUUCCCUUCUUUUUCUUUACAGUUACUGACUGCAUAGUGAGGCAAUGCUGUCUUUGAAGAACAGGUUUGCCAUUUUAUCUCAUGAGUUUUAGGGAAUGGAACAUGAUAGACAUAGGAAACACACAUACAUCUUUGUUAGCUAAAGUAGCAUCUAGACAAUACAGUAAACUAUUUUUUAUUAGUAAGUUUAAGUUUAUUCAAGUUACUCAUCACAGUGGUAUUGGGGAGUUAGCAACUGAGACAGGCUAAUAAGCUAUCACAAUUCAUUGAACCUGCAUGUCCAAGUUCAAUCACUAGUCAGAAAGUGAAAGACAACAUUCAUCAUUGGAUGAUGACAAACAUGCACAUUUAAAAAUACCAUUAUAGUGGAGUCUUGAAGGAACUUUUGAAUGCCAAAGUUUUGAAACUGUUGAGUGGGGGAUUGUGGUGAAAUGGGUUAAAGUUAGGUUCAGGCAGAAAUUAAAACAAGACACACUACUUAAAUCUGAGCAACAGUUGAGAAACAGAUUCAAAGCUAUUGAGGAUAAAGAUGUUUCAUGCUUGCCUUUUCUCCAAAUACUGGUGAUCUUGAUGAUACACUACCUACUUUAGUCUGCCCACAAGCCCCACAAUUGCCUGUGUCCCCUGUUUGGAAUAAUUUGAUGUUUCAGGAGGGAGUCACUUUCUCCAAGACCAAAACUGUUGUUCAUCAUGAACCUAACUUGGUACAACACAAAAUUGUUUCAGUUCAGAAUAAUGGUAAGAGUAAAAACAUUCAGAAUAUAACCUUGCCUGAAACAUUUAAUGAUACUUCUCCUGUGUCUUCAGAGCCUGCACAGAGGGAUGAACAGGGGUGGGUGUUGUGAGGAAUCAGGGGAAAAAGAGUGAUGAAUAGCUUUCUUGAAGGGCAGAGUCACAACAUCUUACGAACCUGGUCUGAAUCUUCUCUCUCUUCCUGUGUUUUCCUCUUUCCCCACUUAGCAGGUGUAUGACUAUAGACACUCAAACUCAAAGAGCAUCACUGCAUGAUAUUAUAGGCUCUAAUAAUGCAUGUUACAUUAUUGUUAUAAUAUUAUAGUUCACACACACACACACACACACAUACACACACACACACACACACACACACACACACAGUUCCACCCAAACUCAGAUUUGCUUUAAUCAAGGUUAUAUGUAAAGUAGGACAAAGGGACAGAGAUGUUUGAAUUAGGUGACCUGCGUUUUGUCAACAGUCCAGACUGGUACAGGUGGUCUAAUGGUGUGGGAAAUAUAUUUUUUUUUGGGAAACUUUGGCCCUGUUAAUACCAAUAAAUCAUGGCUUGAAUGCCACAGCCUAUUUGAGUAUUGUUACUGACCAUGUGCAUCCCUUCAUGGCCACAAGUUACCCAUCUUCUAAUGGCUACUUCCAGCAUGAUAAUGCACCAUGUCACAAAGCAAAAUUGGUCUCAAACUGGUUUCAUGAACAUGACAAUGUGUUCAGUGUUCUUCAGUGGCUUUCCCAUUCCCUGGUUCUAAAUCCAAUAGAACACCAUUGAGAUUUUCAGGAUGAAAGUGAAAAAUCUGCAGGAACUGCAUGAUGCAAUCAUGUCAACAUGGACCAGAAUCUCAAACGAAUGUUUCCAUCAUCUGGUGGAAUCCAUGUCAUGAAGAAUUUAGGCUAUUUUGAGAACAAAUGGAGGCCUUAAAGUGCUCAGCGAGUGUAUUAACCCCAAAGUUAAUUACUUAGUCUAUUCGUUGAUUAAUAUACACACACUGCAGAGAGUUUGAGUCUGUGUUCUAUUUCACCUCUUCAAACCUACGAAGGGCAGAGUCUAACAUCUGGAUAUCCUCUAGCGUGUGUGUGUGUGUGUUUGUGUGUGUGUGUGUGUGUGUGUGUGUGUGUGUGUGUGUGUGUGUGUGUGUGUGUGUGAACCAUGCUGAGACCUUCAACAAUGUCAAGGUGACCGUGAUGCGGCAUUUGUUAUAAAUACCUUCUCAUUACGCCUCUCUGAUCCAUUUACUCUACUGACCUUGUACCAUGCUGGACCUCCUGUGUAUCUUGGAUCUAUGUAACCUGUCUUCUAAAGCUGGUGACAGACUCUUGUCAUCACGUCGUGGCUGCGAUUUAUUCUUGUCCUUUCGCCAGUUUUGGAUGGAUGUCCUGUUCGUGGAAAUGUCUUUAUGGUGCCCACUUUCCUCCACUUCUUGACAACGACUUUAAUGAGGUUCCAUGGUACAUUUAAUGUUUUGGAAGUUGUACAUGCUUUGUAAGCUCUUUGUGGACCAUGGCUUCAGCAGUUGGAUGGAACCAAGAUGACAUCAAGAAAAUCCUACAGAAACAGCUGAUCUUUACUUGUGUUUAUUCAGAAUCACUUUGAUGACAGGUGUAUGAUAAUUACUGUUGAAAAUGAGUUAAAGUGUGAUUGGUUAAUUCUGAGCACAGUCACAUGACACAUUAUAAAAGUUAAACUUAUGCAGAGUAUUGUAAGUUUUUUUUUUUUUUUCUAAAACAUUUAAAUUUGUUUUUCAUUUCAAUUUUGUUGGUUGCUAUAUCACAUUCAAGUUGGGAAAAGAUCUCACAUUUGAUCAGAUUUAUCUUGGUUUCACUGGUUUACAUUACAAAAAAAUGGUUGAUUAAUAGCACAAUACUGUGAUAAACAUGAUGUUUUAGACUGGAUUAUCAUAAUGUGAACAUUUCAAACUGUAACACCUCUACUUUACUUAAUGAAAUGGCCCACAGGAAAGACAGGUGAAGCAGUUUCUGUUUAAAAUCAGCAGCUUAGUGUGUCAGAUAUGGGUCAAAAAUAUCUGAAAAACAUUUUCUACUAUAAAAAUAUUCAAUGUAAAAAGCUCAAUGUUAAUUCCGAACCUGCUGAACAUAGAGAUGUCACUUUUCAUUACAUUAAAACAAUAAAUAUUUAUGACCAUCAA